UACGUAGGGUGCAAGCGUUAUCCGGAAUCACUGGGCGUAAAGCGUGCGUAGGUGGAUGUUUAAGUGUGAUGUUAAAUCGUGGGGCUCAACCCUGUCGAUGCAUCGCAUACUGGACGUCUAGAGGGAAGCAGAGGCAAGUGGAAUUGGUAGUGUAGCAGUGAAAUGCGUAGAUAUUACCAGGAACACCAAUGGCGAAGGCAGCUUGCUGGGCUUCUUCUGACACUGAGGUACGAAAGCGUGGGGAGCGAACAGG
rnacentral:rRNA from 1 species